rnacentral:rRNA from 1 species
AUACGGAGGAUCCGAGCGUUAUCCGGAUUUAUUGGGUUUAAAGGGUGCGCAGGCGGCCAUUUAAGUCAGCGGUUAAAUCGUGGGGCUCAACCCCAUUCUGCCGUUGAUACUGGGUGGCUUGAUUGCGGUCGAGGUUGGCGGAAUUCGUUGUGUAGCGGUGAAAUGCAUAGAUAUGACGAAGAACACCGAUUGCGUAGGCAGCUGACCAGACCGCAAAUGACGCUCAUGCACGAAAGUGCGGGGAUCGAACAGGAUUAGAUACCCUGGUAGUCCGCACAGUAAACGAUGAAUACUUGUUUUCGGCGAUAUAAUGUCGGAGGCAAAGCGAAAGCGAUAAGUAUUCCACCUGGGAAGUACGCCGGCAACGGUGAAACUCAAAGGAAUUGACGGGG